rnacentral:rRNA from 1 species
GACGAACGCUGGCGGCGUGCUUAACACAUGCAAGUCGAACGAAGAGCGAUGGAAGCUUGCUUCUCUCAAUCUUAGUGGCGCACGGGUGAGUAACGCGUAAUCAACCUGCCCUUCAGAGGGGGACAACAGUUGGAAACGACUGCUAAUACCGCAUACGAUCUAAUCUCGGCAUCGAGGAUAGAUGAAAGGUGGCCUCUACAUGUAAGCUAUCACUGAAGGAGGGGAUUGCGUCUGAUUAGCUAGUUGGAGGGGUAACGGCCCACCAAGGCGAUGAUCAGUAGCCGGUCUGAGAGGAUGAACGGGCACAUUGGGACUGAGACACGGCCCAGACUCCUACGGGAGGCAGCAGUGGGGAAUCUUCCGCAAUGGACGAAAGUCUGACGGAGCAACGCCGCGUGAGCGAUGACGGCCUUCGGGUUGUAAAGCUCUGUUAAUCGGGACGAAAGGCCUUCUUGCGAAUAGUGAGAAGGAUUGACGGUACCGGAAUAGAAAGCCACGGCUAACUACGUG